AAAAAAAGAAAGAACCAUUCAUUGGAAUCUUCAAUUAUGGAGGACAGUCGACAGGGUAUUUACUCAGUCAGGAUUAAAAGAACAACUCUUAAAGUAGCCAAUAAGGUUGCUGAAGGGGAAAUAGAAAACAUCUUUCCCGAAAACAUCAAUUACUCUCCUUGUAUUUGAUUUUCACUAGAUUCAAAGUUUCUUCACUAAUCAUUGGUUUUUCCCUUGUAAAUUAUUUGCCCAUUUCCUUGUAUUUGUUGCUGCGUAUUUUUAGACCCCUUUCUCUAGAUAUGCUGAGCUCAUCACCCAAAGGUUGGGUUAUAUUCCCCUUAUUUGGAAAGUAGAAUUU
rnacentral:misc_RNA from 1 species